rnacentral:lncRNA from 10 species
AGGGUUUCACCAUGUUGGUCAGGAUGGUCUUGAUCUCCUGACCUCAUGAUCCACCUGCCUCAGCCUCCUAAAAUGCUGGGAUUACAGGUGGGAGCCACCGCGCCCAGCCUAAAAAAAGCAACUUUUAUAUGUAGUCCAAAGAUACAUACGCUAAGUGUCCUCAAUCCUUCUCUGCUCAAUCUCUAUGUGACUUGAUGCAGGGUAAAGUGGAUAAAAUAAUAAGCCACUUCACAAUUUUGAAACUUUACAGUAAUAUCCAAUAUCUAAAAUUUAUUUGAAAGAUUCUGGGCCUGGUGCAGUGGCUCAUGCCUGUAAUCACAGCACUUUGGGAGGCCAAGGCAGGUGGAUCACUUGAAGUCAGGAAUUUGAGACCAGCCUGGCCUAGUGAAACCCCAUUUCUAUUAAAAAUACAAAAAUCAGCCAGGUGUGGUGGUGUGUGCCUGUAAUCCCAGCUACUGGGAGGCUGAGGCAGAAGAACUGCAUGAACCCGGGAGAUGGAGGUUGCAGUGACCCGAGAUCGUGCCAUUGCACUCUAGCCUGGGUAAAAGAGCGAGACUCCAUCGCAGAAAAAAAAAGAAAAAAAGAAAAAAAAAAAAGAAAAGAUUCUGUUUGCAUUACUGUAACACCAGCACGUCACUUCUCUGGGGUCUUUAAAUGAAGUAGUCUAAACAGUGUCGUCCGGGUAUCUAAAGCAUAUGAAAUCGUAGGAGCAGAGUGUCUCUGCUAUGUAGGUGGUUUAGCAACAUUAUUAACUUGAAAGAUUAGGUUUAGUCAGUGCAAACUAAGAAAAUUCUGCAUAACCUUGUCUGAACAGUCUAUAAUUAAUAAUGAAAGCUAACAUUUGUUUGAGCACUCACUACGUGUCAGUGCUAUGUGGUUUAAGACUCACUGCAAACCUAUACCAUCAUGAUAGAAUCAUACAAUUGAAGGUGUAAUCAAACCUUCUCAUGCCUAGUUUACACCAACCAUUAGUCACGCCUGGAAUCUGGCCAUUUUUCGAGAAUAACAUCAGAAGGCAGAAUAAUUACAGCAGAAAGUGGGCUGGCCUUCAGCACGACCAGUUUAAAACUAGUCUCAGAAAACGAAUCACAGGUGUUUGUGCCAAAGUAACAACUGGCCCUAACCUAUGCUCCCUGUGUCAUUAACUUUAUUGUUCCCACAGGAAAGCUGAUAAAACAAAGAUUGGCCUAGUAAGAACCAAUUAAUAAAACUAAUUUUCAAAAGAAAAAAUAAUUAAAAUUAAUUAUAUUGCCUAUGACGAGAAAAAGCCUUGCAUUUAGUAAGCCUUUAAAAUAUCCUGUUUACAGUAGGAUUUUGAAGGUAGUAAGGGCUUAAGAUAUGUGGAGUCUCUGGUUUAAACCUUCACACAGUUUUUAAAAAAUCAGCCAUCAUUAUUCUCAUGUUGAAAUUCCGUAUGAACACUCAUAUAAAGAAGAAAACAUUUAAGGCUAAAUGUCGAAAAUAUUUAAGGCUAAAAUUGGAACUUAACAUGUUUGUUUCAGAAGUUAACAUAGGUCCAGGCAUCCUACAGCUCACUCAUAUUUUAAAUUAGUGAAGAAAUAAGAUAUAUGGGUGGGUGAAGAGAGGGAAAAGGAACAAUUUGCCGAAGAAGUCAUCUGUGCAGGGAAAGCUAAUUGUAUCUCACUGAAGACUCAAGCAUCAAUUUUAAGGGAAAGCUGUCACAUUUAGUGCCUUAACUAAAGAAGUUAAACCCAAUAAUUUUCCAGUCUUUUAAUUCAUUUAUAAGAUAGGAAAGGAAAGUCCAAAUAUUAUUAAAACAAUGGGCCCUGUCUUUUAAGGUUUGGCGGUGAGACUCUCUUUGACUAAAGAGAAAGACGACACCUUCAGAAGCAAAGUAUUUCAAUGACUGAUGCUAAGAGAAGCAACGAGACAGGUCAGGAUAUGAAAGAGUUGGCCCCAACAAGGCAGGUGUCUCCAGGGGGAAUGCAGAAAGGAAAUAUUGCCAAAGAAAUUAAAGAAGUCUUAAAUAUUAUUUCCAAAGAGUGAAACGAAAAAUUUUAGGAAAAGAGAAUCAGAAGACACAGGCAUAUAUGCAUGUGCCUGGUGUAUGAUACGUGUAGCACAGGAUGGAAGCAGAGAGCAGAUCUUAGUCUUAACACCCUUGAGGAGACUGACUCUGCACCUCAGACAGUCACAUAUCCUAAAGUUCAGAAGGAGCUGGGUAGUGCAUUUUCAGAAUUUAGAAGUAGUAAAGGUAAUGAAACAACUUUUUUUUUUUUUAGAUGAGUCUUGCUCUGUUGUCCAGGCUGGACUGCAGUGGCGCGAUCUCAGCUCACUGCAAACUCUGCCUCCUGGGUUCAAGUAAUUCUCCUGCCUCAGUCUCCCUGGUAGCUGAGGCAGGAGAAUGGCGUGAACCCGGGAGGCGGAGCUUGCAGUGAGCCGAGAUCAG